rnacentral:tRNA from 1 species
AUGUUCUGUAGCUCAGACGGUAGAGCAAUCCUUGAAAGGGAUGUGUCGCAGGUUCGACUCCUGCCGAAC